rnacentral:tRNA from 1 species
GUUUUUGUAGUUGAAUACAACGAUGGUUUUUCAGACCAUAGGUCUUGGUUGAAGUCCAGGUAAGAAUU